rnacentral:rRNA from 1 species
GAUGAACGCUGGCGGCGUGCCUAAUACAUGCAAGUAGAACGCUGAAGCUUGGUGCUUGCACCGAGCGGAUGAGUUGCGAACGGGUGAGUAACGCGUAGGUAACCUGCCUAGUAGCGGGGGAUAACUAUUGGAAACGAUAGCUAAUACCGCAUAACAGUCGACAUUGCAUGAUGUUGAUUUGAAAGGGGCAAAUGCUCCACUACCAGAUGGACCUGCGUUGUAUUAGCUAGUUGGUGAGGUAACGGCUCACCAAGGCGACGAUACAUAGCCGACCUGAGAGGGUGAUCGGCCACACUGGGACUGAGACACGGCCCAGACUCCUACGGGAGGCAGCAGUAGGGAAUCUUCGGCAAUGGGGGCAACCCUGACCGAGCAACGCCGCGUGAGUGAAGAAGGUUUUCGGAUCGUAAAGCUCUGUUGUAAGAGAAGAACGAGUGUGAGAGUGGAAAGUUCACACUGUGACGGAACUACCAGAAAGGACG